rnacentral:rRNA from 1 species
GUCUUUUUGUUAAUUAUUUAAGGUUUGGCCUGCUCCAUGAUUGAAUUAAAUAGCCGCAGUAUUUUGACUGUGCAAAGGUAGCAUAAUCAUUAGUUUCUUAAUUGGAAGCUGGAAUGAAGGGCUGGAUGAGAAAGAAGCUGUCUCACUUUGAUUGAAUUUGAAUUUUAUUUUUAAGUUAAAAAGCUUAAAUUUUAUAGAAAGACGAGAAGACCCUAUAGAGUUUAAUAGACUGGGAUUUAAUUGCUUGAGGGUUUUAAUUUAAUUGUUUUUUAGUCUGUUUGGUUGGGGUGACAUGAGAAUAGAGUAAACUUCUUAUAAUUUUAACAUUGAUUUAUGAACAAAUGAUCCUGGGAUCUGGAUUUAAAGAUAAAAUUACCUUAGGGAUAACAGCGUAAUCUUUUUGGAGAGUUCUAAUCGAUAAAAGGGAUUGCGACCUCGAUGUUGGAUUAAAGUUAAGUUUUGGUGCAGAAGCUAAAAUUUUGAGUC